rnacentral:rRNA from 1 species
CCUACGGCUGGCAGCAGUGAGGAAUAUUGGUCAAUGGGCGCGAGCCUGAACCAGCCAAGUAGCGUGAAGGAUGACUGCCCUACGGGUUGUAAACUUCUUUUAUAAAGGAAUAAAGUGAGGUACGUGUGCCUUUUUGUAUGUACUUUAUGAAUAAGGAUCGGCUAACUCCGUGUCAGCAGCCGCGGUAAUACGGUGGAUCCGAUCGUUAUCCGGAUUUAUUGGGUUUAAAGGGAGCGUGGAUUGGUUGUUAAGUUAGUUGUGAAAGUUUGCGGCUCAACCGUAAAAUUGCAAUUGAUACUGGCAGCCGUGAGUACAUUUGAGGUAGGCGGAAUUCGUGGUGUAGCAGUGAAAUGCUUAGAUAUCACGAAGAACUCCGAUUGCGAAGGCAGCCUACUAAACUGCCACUGACAUUGAUGCUCGAAAGUGUGGGUAUCAAACAGGAUUAGAUACCCCUGUAGUC